UACGGGAGGCAGCAGUGGGGAAUAUUGCACAAUGGGCGCAAGCCUGAUGCAGCCAUGCCGCGUGUAUGAAAAAGGCCUUCGGGUUGUAAAGUACUUUCAGUCGUGAGGAAGGUGUUAAGGUUAAUAACCUUAGCAAUUGACGUUAGCGACAGAAGAAGCACCGGCUAACUCCGUGCCAGCAGCCGCGGUAAUACGGAGGGUGCGAGCGUUAAUCGGAAUUACUGGGCUAAAGGGCACGCAGGCGGUUAAUUAAGUUGGAUGUGAAAUCCCCGGGCUUAACCUGGGAAUGGCAUUCAAGACUGGUUAGCUAGAGUCUUGUAGAGGGGGUUAGAAUUCCAUGUGUAGCGGUGAAAUGCGUAGAGAUGUGGAGGAAUACCGGUGGCGAAGGCGGCCCCUGGACAAAGGCUGACGCUCGAUGUGCGAAAGCGUGGGGAGCAAACGAGGGAUUAGAUAC
rnacentral:rRNA from 1 species